rnacentral:rRNA from 1 species
UACAGAGGGGGCAAGCGUUGUUCGGAAUUACUGGGCGUAAAGGGCGCGUAGGCGGCCUUCUAAUUCGAACGUGAAAUCCCCGGGCUCAACCCGGGAACUGCGUCCGAUACUGGAAGGCUUGAAUCCGGGAGAGGGAUGCGGAAUUCCAGGUGUAGCGGUGAAAUGCGUAGAUAUCUGGAGGAACACCGGUGGCGAAGGCGGCAUCCUGGACCGGCAUUGACGCUGAGGCGCGAAAGCCAGGGGAGCAAACGGG